GCCGGGCGUGGUGGCGCGCCUGUAAUCCCAGCUACUUGGGAGGCUGAGGCUGGAGGAUAGCUUGAGCUCAGGAGUUCUGGGCUGCAGUGCUAUGCCGAUUGGGUGUCCGCACUAAGUUCGGCAUCAAUAUGGUGACCUCCCGGGAGCGGGGGACCACCAGGUUGCCUAAGGAGGGGUGAACCGGCCCAGGUCAGAAAAUAUAAAACCACCAUUUUUUUUUGGAGGGUUUUGGAGCUUCCUACCAUAAAAACACACAGGCCAAACACCAUGUAUUUGACUAUUCUGAGCAGU
rnacentral:SRP_RNA from 1 species